rnacentral:pre_miRNA from 1 species
AAAGUACUCCCUCCGUCCCAAAAUUCUUGUCUUAGGUUUGUCUAGAUACGGAUGUAUCAAGUCACAUUUUAGUAUUAGAUACAUCCGUAUCUAGACAAAUCUAAGACAAGAAAUUUGGGAUAGAGGGAGUAGUUG